AACGAACGCUGGCGGCAGGCCUAACACAUGCAAGUCGAACGCCGUAGCAAUACGGAGUGGCAGACGGGUGAGUAACACGUGGGAACGUACCCUUCGGUUCGGGAUAACUCAGGGAAACUUGAGCUAAUACCGGAUACGUCCGAGAGGAGAAAGAUUUAUCGCCGAGGGAUCGGCCCGCGUCUGAUUAGCUUGUUGGUGAGGUAACGGCUCACCAAGGCGACGAUCAGUAGCUGGUCUGAGAGGAUGAUCAGCCACAUUGGGACUGAGACACGGCCCAAACUCCUACGGGAGGCAGCAGUGGGGAAUAUUGGACAAUGGGCGCAAGCCUGAUCCAGCCAUGCCGCGUGAGUGAUGAAGGCCCUAGGGUUGUAAAGCUCUUUUACCCGGGAAGAUAAUGACUGUACCGGGAGAAUAAGCCCCGGCUAACUUCGUGCCAGCAGCCGCGGUAA
rnacentral:rRNA from 1 species